rnacentral:rRNA from 1 species
UGACUGCGUACCUUUUGUAUAAUGGGUCAGCGACUUAUAUUCUGUAGCAAGGUUAACCGAAUAGGGGAGCCGGAGGGAAACCGAGUCUUAACCGGGCGUUAAGUUGCAGGGUAUAGACCCGAAACCCGGUGAUCUAGCCAUGGGCAGGUUGAAGGUUGGGUAACACUAACUGGAGGACCGAACCGACUAAUGUUGAAAAAUUAGCGGAUGACCUGUGGCUGGGGGUGAAAGGCCAAUCAAACCGGGAGAUAGCUGGUUCUCCCCGAAAGCUAUUUAGGUAGCGCCUCGUGAAUUCAUCUCCGGGGGUAGAGCACUGUUUCGGCUAGGGGGCCAUCCCGGCUUACCAACCCGAUGCAAACUGCGAAUACCGGAGAAUGUUAUCACGGGAGACACACGGCGGGUGCUAACGUCCGUCGUGAAGAGGGAAACAACCCAGACCGCCAGCUAAGGUCCCAAAGUCAUGGUUAAGUGGGAAACGAUGUGGGAAGGCCCAGACAGCCAGGAUGUUGGCUUAGAAGCAGCCAUCAUUUAAAGAAAGCGUAAUAGCUCACUGGUCGAGUCGGCCUGCGCGGAAGAUGUAACGGGGCUAAACCAUG